CAAAAGAAUUGAAAGCAUACUUAUUGCCUAAUUUACUUCGAUUUAAAAACAAGUUCUACUUGGAUAGACUUGAUACGACUCAAGUCAGUUCAACUUGUCUUCCAUUACAGUCGAGUACCAUCUAAUGUGUAUUGUGUCGUUACAGCAACGCGGUGAAAUAUUUGUAUGCGACAUAAAUGCCGCAACAAAGGUGGAUGUUGAGGCAACAGUAUACCCGCUGCUUGGUCUGUUGUUUUUGGUCAUGCUCGAUGACCACAGUGUUGUUUUUGUGCAGCUGUUUCCCUCAUUGCCGAGUUUAAAAAAUGAUAGUUUGAUUUUUCUCAAAGACACACUCUCAUGAUUCAUCGAGCGACUUCACUGACUAGCCAAUCGGCAUGUAGGCUGUGAAUGUCACAUUUUUGGAUCGUUCGAACCACUUCAAGUAGCUACUAAAAAAGUAGCUGGUACGAGGUACUAUCGUCUAAUGGAGAACCCUAAAAACCGUGUCAAGCCGUGCCAAACCCAGCUGAGUAGGUACUAAUGGAAAAGAGCUAUCAGUGACAAUUUAGGGUCAUUUGAUUCAGCCCUAACUAUAUACUUUAUUAAAAAGGAAGUUUUUAACCCUAUUCUUAGAGUAAAGUAGUAGAGAGGGUUUUUGGCUUGUGAAUUUAAAGCAGGAGCUGAUUCCACAGAAGGAAGCCUGGAACCUGAAGGCUCUGCCCGCCAUUCUCCUUUUAAUACCCAAAGUACCAAGUACCAAGUAAGCUUGCAGUCUGAGAGAAAAGUGCUUUAUUGGGGUGAUACUAUGAGGUCUUUUAGAUUAGAUUAAGCCUGAUUAUUCAAGGCCUUGUAUGCAAGAAGUAGGAUUUUAAUUUCAAUUCUGGAUUUACCAGGGAGCCAAUGAAGAGAAGCCAGUUUAGAAAUAUACUCUUCUCUUUCUAGUCCAUUUCGGUUGUCUUGGUGCAACAUUUUGGAUCAAGGGAAGGCUUUUAGUGAUUUUUAAGGCAACCCAAUAAUAAUCAAUUAUAAUAGUUCAGCCUAGAAAUAUUAAAAUUAACUAAUUUGUUAACAUCACUCUGUUUUACUGAUAGGAAGCUCUAUAGUAGGGUACAGGAAAGGAGAGCUAAUUAGUCAAACCUCAGAUUAAGGAGGAACGAUGUCAUUUUCAUCCCAGUUGAGGAAUGUAAACCAGUUCUUUAUAACCUCUCCAGGAUAUUCAAAUGUGCAUGUCCAGUCUACAUGUGUUUUGUGGACUUGGAGAAGAUGCUGAUCUGCAUCUCUUGGGGAACCCUGUGGGGGGGGGGGGGCUUUGUGAGUAUGGAGUAUCUAGUCCACUGCUAUGAGCCUUUUGGUCCCUGUAUAACCAUUGCAAGUCUAGGCCCACAUUGCUGCAAAAAGUUGGAUCUUGUUGGAUCCCUCGCUUACGAGUGAGGGGGAGGACAGCAAGAGAUUGAGAGACAGAUUGGAGCCAAGUCUGAUGUGGAUGUUGCACCAGUCUUUCCUGUUGAAGAAAGACCUCAGCAUAAAAAUAAAGCUGUUGAUUUACUGGUCGAUCUAUAUCUUCACCCUCACCUAUGGUCAUUAGCUCUGAGUAGCAACUGAAAGAAUGAGAUUGCUGAUACAAGUGGCAGAUAUGAGCUUAGUCAGAAGGAUUGCUGGUUUCUCUCUGAGAGAUAGGAUGAAGAGUGCAGUCAUUCAAUAGAGGGUCAGAUUAGAGCUACUGCACUUCCACAUCGAAAGGAGCCAGUUGAAGUGGUUCGGACAUCUGACUAGGAUGGCUUCUGGGCAACUCCUGAUUGAGGUGUUCUGGGAAUAUCCUACUGGAAGGAGGCCCCAGGGCAGAACCAGGACAGGGUUGAGAUAUUAGAUCUCUCAGCUGGCCUGGGAAAGCCUUGGUGUUUCCCCCCGAUAAGCUGGAAUAGUUCGCUGGGGAGAGGAAGGUCUGGGCGUCCUUGCUUAGGCUGCUACCUCCAUGACCCAACCCUAGAUGAGCAUAAGAAAAAAAAGGAUGGAUGGAUUGAUAGAUGGAUGGAGUUUUUGGUACCUUAUUCUUGUCAUUGUCCCUCAGUCCUCCCUUGCUUUCUGCACCAGGUUUGUCUUCUUUAUAUUUCUCUCCCUUGUGUGUUUGUGUCCGUGUUUGUGGGCGAGACUCAAUGCAGCAAUCAACCACCCAUUCCUGAAGGUCGCAUCAGGGAGCCACUACUUAAGAUCUCCAGAUUCCCUUCUCUGGUGUGCUGAGCCUGACGCUGAGUUUGAGAGAGAGUGUUACCUGUAAAUAUUGAAUGUGUGGAUUCCCUACCUCCCUGGACCCACCUGGAGCACUAUUCCCCUGUUGCUUUGUGCCACGGUGUAAAUAUCUAUUCACUGGAAAUAAAAGCACUGAACUGUGA